rnacentral:rRNA from 1 species
AGCGGCGGACGGGUGAGUAACACGUAGGUAACCUGCCUAUAAGACUGGGAUAACUCCGGGAAACCGGGGCUAAUACCGGAUAACAUUUUGCACCGCAUGGUGCGGAAUUGAAAGGCGGCUUCGGCUGUCACUUAUAGAUGGACCUGCGGCGCAUUAGCUAGUUGGUGAGGUAACGGCUCACCAAGGCGACGAUGCGUAGCCGACCUGAGAGGGUGAUCGGCCACACUGGGACUGAGACACGGCCCAGACUCCUACGGGAGGCAGCAGUAGGGAAUCUUCCGCAAUGGACGAAAGUCU